UUAAUUUUAGAUUUAAAUAAGUUUGAAGAAGAAAUCUUUAAUUGAUUUGUAAAAUCUUGACAUUUGUUUUGUGUAAAAAACCCAUAUAAUGUCAAAAAUUUGAUCACAAUCCAAAUUCAGAGCUGUAUCACGCUUAAAUGUUUUGUCCAGUAUUGAUACCUGCCCCAACUGUUCAGGGAUCGACCUCUGCGGUCGUAUAAAGGGCUUAUUCUCAUUUCGCCUUAGCUGUCAAAAUAAUUAUACAAAAUUAUUCCCAGUUUGCCUUAGUACAAAUUUCUAGGUACAUAAUAAUUAACUAAGGCGAAAUGGGAGUUUCUGUAAACAUUGUAAUUAAGUUAUGUUUUGUUGGUAUUGCAAUUAGUUAUUAUUUGUUAUUUUGAUGUCAAAUUCUACCAUGAAAUAUUAUUUAUAUUUGGUGUCCCACGUUUUAAAUAAUUCUUUUUUAUAGUUGCUCUUCCUUUUCUGUUUUUUUUUUACUCAUGUGUUAUAU
rnacentral:lncRNA from 1 species